AAGCAUGAAGUGAAGAGGAAAGGAAAGAACACAAACCUUAGGUGGGAAAAUUGAAGAAAAAGUGUGGGAUUUCAAGGGAUUGAGCUAAUAAAGGUAAAAUUUUGUGAUUUUAUCUUGUGAUUUACACUACCCAUGCUUUCUUUUUCAUUUUCCAUGCUUAGAACUCAAGUUUGCAUGAUGAACCCAUGUUGGCCGAAUUUGAGAGGAGAGGUUUCGAGCAUUGAUUUUGCUAGAUUUCAAGCUAAUUAAGUGUUUUUGGUUGUUCGGUAAUGGAAAGUAUGAAAAUCUAGCAAUGAAUCACUUUGUUCUUCACAAACCCACAAGAGGCCGAAUUUUCUAGGGAGGAUAUUGAGGCUGAAAUUGAUGAUAUUUCAUGAUAUUUUGGUGGUAUUCAAUGAUUGGUGAGGCUAGAAAUUUAAUGGGAAAUUUUGGCAUGAAAAUCUAAAUUUUUACCUAAUGUAUAGACAUGUGCGAUUUAUGGUUCAGACUGAUAAAUUGAAUCAUAUUCACAGUCAUUGGGGUAUUUUAAGUAUAAUUGGAGUGUAGAAAGUGAAAGAAAUCGAUUUGGAGUUAAAUUGGAGGUUUUAGCCAAUUACACUGAGAAUAGUGCGAAUUAGGUCGAAUAUCGUACUUAGACGGCUAUUCGGACAUUUUGCAUCACAUUUCGUGCAUUCAUGUAGAUUUAUAGAGCUUGGAAUAAUUUAUGAUAAAUUGACACAAUUUAUUGAAAUUCGUGUCACUUAUGAUGUAUUGGUGGUAAGCCCUCUAACAAGGGUAAAGAGAUUGUGCCCGAAGACCGAGAAUAGGAGUAUAUCGAACUCCUAGUACUGUGAGUAACCUUACUAUCGUCUUAAUUAUCUAAAGUGGUUUUUAUCCGAUUUUGUGAAUUUCAUGGAAAAUAAAUGAAAUGAUUAAUUUUUCGGUUUUAUAAACCAAAUGUGAUUUAAUGAAAUGAUUUCAUAAAAUUGUUUUAAAAUUGAAUAAUGGUUUUGAAAAUAGAGUAAUUGGAGACCAUUUGAUGUAUUGUGAAUUUAUGGUUCUAAUUGAUCGGCUUAUGACAAUAUUGGCAUGAAUGGCUGAAUUGGUAUUUGUGUUGAAAUGUAUAAACUAUUGUUUGCCUUGAUAGGCUAGAUAAUGAUAAAAUUGUCAUGUCAUGCUGUUGCAAAUUUUAUUGUAUGGUGGGUUUAGCUUGCUGCAGUGGGCUGGUUCUGUGGACUAGCCUAUUAGAGGGGCAUGAAACUUGGUUGUCACGACCCAAUUUCCCGGGCUAUGACCGACGCAUGAGCUCAACGAGCAUAGCUCACUAAGCUCAAGCAAGCCUAUCCAUUUACCUUUGCUUAACAAAUUUAUCAUAUCAUGCAUACACACACACUUUUUUUUUUUUUUCGGGUGUGAACAUAGCAAAAACACAAUGGCAUUAUCGCUAAUAAUAUACAUGCACUACACCAGUCAUGUAUUUAGCAAUUUACAUUGCAUAUACAUAUUCACAUUGUUAGAUUGUAUUCAUAAUACAAAAGGACCCAUGACUUCCAGCGGAGACAUUUACAAUAAAAGGGAUUACUAUCGAAUGCUAGACACAUACCCAAGAGAUACACUACAGGGACUCCUCGAUCUAGGGUCCAACAGUCACCUAAUCUGAAAACAUGAAUUUUUAUAAAACGUGAGUACAAUACUUAGUGAGUGAACAAGGAAGGGAACAAGCAACAAUUAGGGAGAAUUUAAAAUCAUGAAGCACUUGUUUCAAAACAAUGCAAUUUAGUUCAUUCCUAUUUAAAACCCCUCCAAACCCGAGAGUUUUUCGCUACAGCGAGUAUGAAUUUCACUGCAGUGAAAACAGAGCAACAAGAGAAACAUUUUUCCUCACUCAACAAAAAGCCAUCCUGCUAAACUAAUAAAAUCAACCUAAAAUUCAUGAAAAUUCUCAAAGUACAAUGUGUCAACUUUCAUGUACAUUACAACCAUAAAUCAUUGUCCAUCAAUUUGUUAUAUCACACAUAUUUACAUAUGUAUAUAUAUAUAUAUACGUAUAUACCCAUCAUCAUCAUCUCACCAACCCAUCAUCAUCAUCACCAGCUCAUCAUCAUCAUCACCAGCUCAUGCGCACUCCCUACUCGCACAUGGCUGGGUCAUCACCGGGUUAUGCGCACUCCCUACUCGCACAUAACCGGGUCAUCCUCGGCUUAUGCGCACUCCCUACUCGCACAUAGCCGAGUCAACAUAAUUACACAACAUUAUAUUCAAGCAUAUAUGUAUAUCAACAUAAUGCAGCCACAUAGAAAUCCAUAAUAACCACAUUUCAUAACAUAAACCUUUUCUCAAAAGCUUGUUCCCAAGGCAUUCAUUUUCAUGAAAAAUUGCAUAAAAUCAUUCAAACACUUUGUUCAAAACAGUCAUAUUCCCAAAACAAUUUUGAUAGGCAGUCCACUCACAGGUGUCGAAAAUCCGGAUUCCGGGUGAACUCUGACUAAUAGUCCUCAGGCGUAAUUCCUUUGCCUUUUCCGGACGUCUCACCACCUUGACAAAUAACAAAGUCGAGGAAUUUACUAUAUUGUCCCUAAAUUGAUAUAAAUUAAUUUAAACUACUAAUGCUUGAUAUGUAAAUGCAAAAAUAUGUCCGAUUACCGCUUAAUCACGGUAUCGAUUAAAUUCGACCGAUCACCCGAUUAAUCGGCGAUUGUGUCCAAAUCACCUCCAAAUUAAUUCAUUUCUCCUCUAAUACCUUAAUUUACCACAUACAUUUAAAUAAAGCCAAAUUCAGCAUUAGAACCCUCACAAUUCCUUAUAGAAAAAAUUUGGUCAUUUGGUGUACUAGCAUCGAAUUUUUUUCUACAUAACCGUUUCACCUUACUUCAUCAUUUUCCAUGCCAUUUUCCUUGAAAUAAAAACAAUCCCCCAUUGAUAUUCAGCCCUCAUGGUUCGGCCAACAAGGAACCCUAGAGAAAUUGAAUAUUUCUUUUGUGUUUUUGUUCAUAACCAUGCUUAACUAUCCCUAAACACUAACAUAGUCUAAAAUCAAAUUAUUCCAACAACAAUUCCUCUUCCAUACCCAUUUUUCAGAAUUGAAUUCAUCAUGAUAACUCAAUAUUCAACCAUGGAAAUCAAGAACAAAAGCAUGGGUAAGCUAGGUAUCAAGGAGAAUUCAAGAAAUUUUAACUUACCUAGCUUGUUUCCUUGAUUUCUUCACUUUUUCUUUGAAUUUCUACCUAGGUUUUCUUGUUUUUCCUUUUGUUCUUCCUUUUUUCUUGUUGCUGGAUGCCUAGGCCGAAUAUGGUGAGGGAAUUGGGGAUUUAAUGGGCUGAUUUCUAUAAAAAAUAAUAAAAUAAUCAAGCAUGCCAUGUGUCACAUGCUUAUUGGCCUAAUUUUUAACUUUUUGACUUUUUCUUCUUAAUUUUCCAUCACAAAUAUUCUGGUAUUUAUCCAAUCCUACCACAAUUAAAAUCCCUUGGUCUUGACAAGUGCUGGGGUGAAAUAUUUACCAAUUUGCCCUCGAGACGGAAAAAUUAUGAUUUUACCCCUAUAUUCUGAAAUGUACCGAAAUCUCAUUAUUUCUACUUUUCAACCCAAAAUAACACUAAUAUUGAUCAAUAUUAACCAAAUGGGGCAAAAAAAUAUUUUAUAAAAAUUCCCGUUUAGUCCUCUAGUGGCAAAAUUAUCAUUUUACCCUUGUGCUCCAAAAAUACCGGGAAUCAAAAUUUUUCACUACUAAACAUCAUUUUAUGCUCCAAUAAUCAUAAUUAUAUUUCAUAUAAUUAUUCUUGGUCAAAUGUGAUCAAAUAUUGGCUAAAAAUCUCCAUUUUAUCAUUAAAUGGUAAAAUGACCGUUUUGUCCCUAAUUGGUCAAUUUUCUGAUGGACUCCAAACUGAACCUUGAACUCCAAAUCCCUAUUCCAAGCAAUUCUGUGGGUUUUAAAAUUUUCAAAUUCCUCUUAGAAUUUCUAUUUGAACUAGUUCAAAGCUCGAUUUAACUUAGUUGUACCACUCGGUACAAUACCGUCUUUUAAUUGAGCUUGACAAGGUCUCACACUGGUCAUAUUCUUACCUCGGUUGGAGAGGCGAGUAGGGUAACUCCCGAAGUAUAACUUUUAGAGUUCACUUCACGCCAAACCCCCACGUGAGGGCGAACUCAGCCAAUGCCAAGGAACGACUAUAUUUUAAAAAUAAAAAACAUGAUUUAUGAGUACAUAACUUUUUAAUAUCCUUGGCGGACUCAGUUUGGUAUAGCCUGCAGCCAAGGUAUCCCUGAUGACUCAGUAUGAUGAUGAUUUUGGCACGAGUCAAAGUUUUAAGAAAUUCAUAAGCCAUGUUAAUUACUUGAUUUAUAUGAAUUGAUUUUAUUUAAUUGAAAUGAGUUUGAAAGGUGAUGAAUUUCAGUAUGUUAAACUGUUUUAUCUGUCUCUAUUUACUCAACUUUAGAUGGUUUAGAUGGUAUCUGUUUACUCACUGAGAUUUUAUAAUCUCACCACCCUCUUUUUCAACUAUUUCAGGCUCGAGGUAGCCUGUGGAUAGCAAAUAUCGUCAAGGAUUUUAGUCGGCUUUACUACAAAAAUUGUAGGUUUACUGCCUUUGUGCACUUUUGUUCCUUGUGGGCCCACGAGUCAUUGUAAAGUAAAUUUCAUAUCUCGGUUAUCUAUAUUAUAGUACAUAAGAAUUUAUUUAGCUU
rnacentral:lncRNA from 1 species